AAUGCGUAGAGAUCUGGAGGAAUACCGGUGGCGAAGGCGGCCCCCUGGACAAAGACUGACGCUCAGGUGCGAAAGCGUGGGGAGCAAACAGGAUUAGAUACCCUGGUAGUCCACGCCGUAAACGAUGUCUACUUGGAGGUUGUGCCCUUGAGGCGUGGCUUCCGGAGCUAACGCGUUAAGUAGACCGCCUGGGGAGUACGGCCGCAAGGUUAAAACUCAAAUGAAUUGACGGGGGCCCGCACAAGCGGUGGAGCAUGUGGUUUAAUUCGAUGCAACGCGAAGAACCUUACCUGGUCUUGACAUCCACAGAACUUUCCAGAGAUGGACUGGUGCCUUCGGGAACUGUGAGACAGGUGCUGCAUGGCUGUCGUCAGCUCGUGUUGUGAAAUGUUGGGUUAAGUCCCGCAACGAGCGCAACCCUUAUCCUUUGUUGCCAGCGGUU
rnacentral:rRNA from 1 species